GUCAGGAUGGCCGAGUGGUCUAAGGCGCCAGACUUAAGAUCUGCUGCCUGAGGGGAUCGCGGGUUCGAAACCCAAUCCUGACA
rnacentral:tRNA from 1 species